CACACGGACCACGUACAGGGCUGGUCCUGAUGCCAUCAGCAGCCGCGAGUCCCGGUGUCCCCAGCAGAUGGAGAUGAUGGGGCGCUGCCAAGAAGUGAAGGGAGACUACACUUAAGCUGUCGCUCUUGAGAUGCAAUCAGCCUGGGGGACUGUACUGCAUAUUCCUUACUGAAGCUCUGCUAUCUGGAACCCCAAGUAACUGGUGUUCAUUUGCUCAAGGCCAUUUUACCCAGAAACAAACCAAACAACAUGUCUGUAGAAGAGACA